rnacentral:tmRNA from 1 species
GGGGGCGACUGGUUUCGACAUGGUGGGUCUGAGGUGAGGAGCAGGUCGUGGUCUCCUUUCCACGUUAAACAGGGGUACUGUCAAAUUAAUUGGCAAAAAGAAUCUUUCUGGGCAGUAUGCCCUCGCCGCAUAACAUAAGUCGGCGCGUCAAUCCCAGGUGCUUUCCCGCCCUGGGUGCGAUGUCAUCUUAGGGAAAUGCUCGCGCGCACGUUGUCGGAAUGGCGCGCGCUAAGAUUGAACCGGCUCGGGACGGCAACGCGCGUCGCUGUGCCCAGCUGGCCUUAAAGCAGAACAGCGAAUAAGCUUGUAGAGCCUGAGCAGGGAACCAGUAUUGACCGGAGUUCGAUUCUCCGCGCCUCCACCA